rnacentral:rRNA from 1 species
AUGUUGUUAGACAACGGUGAACCUUCGAACUAUGAAGAAGCGAUGGCGGGCCCAGAUUCCAACGAAUGGCUUGAAGCCAUGAAAUCCGAGAUAGAAUCGAUGUAUGAAAACAAAGUAUGGACUUUGACAGACUUGCCCGAUGAUCGGCGAGCGAUAGAAAACAAAUGGAUCUUUAAGAAGAAUACAAACGCGGAUGGUAAUGUCACCAUCUAUAAAGCUCGACUUGUCGCUAAGGGUUAUCGACAGGUUCAAGGGAUUGACUACGACGAGACAUUCUCUCCCGUAGCGAAGCUAAAGUCCGUCCGAAUCAUGUUAGCAAUUGCCGCAUACUAUGAUUAUGAGAUAUGGAAGAUGGACGUCAAAACAGCAUUCCUUAACGGGCAUCUUAAGGAAGAACUGUAUAUGAUGCAGCCGGAAGGUUUUGUCGAUCCUAAGAACGCUAACAAAGUAUGCGAGCUCCAGCGAUCCAUUUAUGGGCUGGUGCAAGCAUCUCGGAGUUGGAAUAUUCGCUUUGAUGAGAUGAUCAAAGCGUUUGGGUUUAUGCAGACUUAUGGAGAAGCCUGCGUUUACAAGAAAGUGAGUGGGAGCUCUGUAGCAUUUCUCAUAUUAUAUGUAGAUGACAUACUCUUGAUGGGAAAUAAUAUAGAAUUUCUGGACAGCAUUAAGGCCUACUUGAAUAAGUGUUUUUCAAUGAAGGACCUUGGAGAAGCUGCUUACAUAUUAGGCAUCAAGAUCUAUAGAGAUAGAUCGAGACGCCUCAUAGGUCUUUCACAAAGCACAUACCUUGAUAAGAUUUUGAAGAGGUUCAAAAUGGAUCAGUCCAAGAAGGGGUUCUUGCCUAUGUUACAAGGUGUGAGAUUGAGCUCGGCUCAGUCACCGACCACGGCAAAAGAUAAAGAAGAGAUGAGUGUCAUCCCCUAUGCUUCAGCCAUAGGAUCUAUUAUGUAUGCCAUGCUGUGUACCAGACCUGAUGUAAACCUUGCCGUGAGUUUGGUAGCUAGAUACCAAAGUAAUCCCGGCAAGGAACACUGGACAGCAGUCAAGAAUAUCCUGAAGUACCUGAAAAGGACAAAGGACAUGUUUCUCGUUUAUGGAGGAGACGAAGAGCUUGUCGUAAAGGGUUACGUCGACGCUAGCUUCGACUCAGAUCCGGAUGACUCUAAGUCACAAACCCGAUACGUGUAUAUGUUGAAUGGUGGAGCAGUAAGCUGGUGCAGCUGCAAGCAGAGCGUCGUGGCGGGAUCUACGUGUGAAGCGGAGUACAUGGCAGCCUCGGAGGCAGCGCAUGAAGCGAUUUGGGUGAAGGAGUUCAUCACCGACCUAGGAGUCAUACCCAAUGCGUCGGGGCCAAUCAAACUCUUCUGUGACAACACUGGAGCUAUUGCCCUUGCCAAGGAGCCCAGGUUUCACAAGAAGACCAGGCACAUCAAGCGUCGUUUCAACUCCAUCCGUGAAAAUGUUCAAGAUGGAGACAUAGAAAUUUGCAAAGUACAUACGGAUCUGAAUGUCGCAGAUCCGUUGACUAAACCUCUCUCGCGAGCUAAACAUGAUCAACACCAGAACUCUAUGGGUGUUCGAUUCAUCACAAUGUAA